UUCUCGGAAGGCUUCUUAUAUUUCUGAAUCUAUCUAUGGAAACAACAAAUUUUUACUCUUAAAAAAAAAAAAUUAAAAAGGAACAGUAAAUCCUCUGCUAGGAAGGAACGGUACCGACUGCAAUGAUCUCCAAUUAGGGUUUUGCAGUGACACACAAUCACUGAAUUUGAUUCUUUCAAUUCGUUACAGGUUCCUUACACCAUGCCGAGAAACGACGACGUUCGCUUUGUGUCUUCUUCCGUCAAAGUUCCACUUUUUUCUCCGCCUACUUUGCAAUCUCUGUCCUUCAGUCUCACAUUCUGUUCUCAAACUCUAGCCUCGCAGUUUGGCAAAUACAGGCUCUCGCUUUGCAAUUUUAUUGACUCACUCAAAACGCGCUCCAACUCAACAGGUUCAACUCUUUCGGAGUUACUAGCCCAGAGCCCUCGCUCACAUUCUAUUCUUUGUUCGGCGUCGUUGUCUCUUAAUCAGCCCAAUGAGGCAACUCAGUUAGGGUCGGAUGGGAAGGAGGCGGCUCAGCAGCUGCAGCUCAAGCGUGGCGGGGCACACUCUGCGAGCCGACAUGAAGAGGAGAGGGUGCUGAUAAGCGAGGUGCUGGUGAGGAACAAGGAUGGGGAAGAAUUGGAAAGGAAGGACCUUGAGGUGGAGGCUAUGGCAACACUCAAGGCCUGCCGCCCCUAUUCGGCCCUUACAGUUCGCGAGGUGCAGGAGGACGUCCAAAGAAUCAUCGACAGUGGUUACUUCUGCUCCUGCAUGCCUGUUGCGGUUGACACGCGAGAUGGUAUCAGAUUGGUCUUUCAGGUAGAACCAAACCAAGAGUUUCAUGGACUGGUAUGUGAAGGAGCUAAUGUUCUUCCAUCAAAAGUCCUAGAGGAUGCUUUCCGUGAUGGUUAUGGAAAAACAGUUAACAUCAGGCAUUUGGAUGAAGUAAUAACUUCGAUCAAUGGCUGGUACAUGGAGCGUAGUCUUUUUGGUUUGGUUUCGGGUAUUGAGAUCCUUUCUGGGGGUAUCAUAAGGUUACAAGUUGCAGAAGCUGAGGUUAAUAAUAUUGUCAUUCGAUUCCUUGACCGCAAAACUGGUGAACCAACUAGAGGGAAGACAAGACCUGAAACAAUACUGAGGCAACUAACAACUAAGAAGGGACAGGUCUACAGCAUGCUUCAAGGGAAAAGAGAUGUAGAUACUAUAUUAACCAUGGGAAUUAUGGAAGACGUUAGCAUUAUUCCUCAACCUGCAGGAGAUACAGAUAAGGUGGAUUUGAUAAUGAAUGUUGUUGAACGCCCAAGCGGAGGCUUUUCUGCUGGUGGUGGAAUAUCGAGUGGGAUUACGAGUGGGCCUCUAACAGGACUAAUUGGAAGUUUUGCAUAUUCUCAUAGGAAUGUUUUUGGAAGAAACCAGAAACUGAAUAUUUCCUUGGAAAGGGGCCAAAUUGAUUCAAUAUUCUGCGUAAAUUACACAGACCCAUGGAUUGAAGGUGAUGACAAAAGGACAUCUAGAACAAUUAUGGUUCAGAAUUCAAGAACGCCUGGAACACUUGUUCAUGGUAACCAACGUGACAAUAGUACUCUGACUAUUGGCCGUGUAACUGCUGGUAUAGAAUUUAGUCGACCAAUCAGGCCAAAGUGGAGUGGAACUGCAGGGCUAAUAUUUCAGCAUUCUGGUGUGCAUGACGAAAAAGGAAAUCCUAUUAUUAAGGAGUCCUAUGGCAGUCCCCUUACUGCUAGUGGCAGGACUCAUGAUGACAUGUUGCUCGCUAAGUUUGAGUGCGUCUAUACUGGUUCUGGUGAUCAUGGGACUUCAAUGUUUGUAAAUUUGGAGCAAGGACUUCCUGUUUGGUCUGAGUGGCUGGCUUUCAACAGAGUGAAUGCUCGAGCCAGAAAGGGUGUUGAAAUUGGUCCUGCUCUCUUUGUUUUAAGUUUGUCUGGUGGUCAUGUGGUAGGUAAUUUCUCUCCUCAUGAAGCAUUUGCCAUUGGCGGAAUAAACAGCAUAAGAGGUUAUGAAGAAGGUGCUGUCGCUUCUGGUCGAUCUUAUGCUGUUGGCUCCAGUGAAAUUUCAUUUCCCAUGUUUGGGUCUGUGGGAGGAGUUGUAUUUGCUGACUAUGGAACUGAUCUUGGAUCAGGUCCUACCGUGCGUGGUGAUCCUGCUGGUGCAAGAUACAAACCUGGAAGUGGAUAUGGAUAUGGGUUUGGUGUGCGAGUUGAUUCACCUUUGGGUCCUUUGCGACUCGAAUACGCAUUUAAUGACAGGCAGGCAAGGAGAUUUCAUUUUGGGGUUGGCCACCGGAAUUGACACCACUUUCCCGUCCUAUUACUCUUUGUGGGAUGCUCCCUGUUAUUCUUCCUGUAGUGCAAGUACACAGAGGGAGUCAGAGUAUUAGGGUUUGGAUGAGUCUUUGGACGGACCGACAGAGUAAACAGGUUUUGACUUGUGUAGUAAUUCAUGCAAGACUGGUGGUAAUAGUCCACAAUAGUAAUUAGUCAUGCUAGCACGUGCGCCGCACAUGGCAUCAGGAUUGCAUUUGCAUCUAAUGUAAGCAUGCCACCCUGUCUGUAUCAUGCCAUGUCAGCAUUUGAGAGUCAAAUUUGACUAGUUGGUCAGCGAAUUUUGUAACCAAUCUUUGCUCCUGUAGUUACAAUUCUCCCCAAAUGUAUAUAUGUAUGUUAAAAAAUCAUGAAUCAAAAUGUGUUAUUGAGUGUUUUUGGUGGA